rnacentral:misc_RNA from 1 species
AAAUUCUCAACCACACUGUGGGUGUGGCUUGGAUAUUGGGGGCAUCAUUUGCAGGUCUUGAAAAAGAGGUCUGCUCCCCUGAAAUGUAUUAGCGGUAUCUGCUACUACAGGUGUGAUAAUUUAUCUGCGCCUCUAGUAUUCAGCAAUAUGAUUACACUGCUUCUAAACACCUCUCGUCUAAUGA